rnacentral:tRNA from 1 species
GGGCCGCAGGUGGUACAGCCGCCGCGGCGUCUUCUGACGGCGCUGGCAGCGCUCCUGCGGGUGCGACAGCCGCUGCGGCUAG